GGGCAAGUAAAUCAGCCCGGUAGAUUGCUACCUUCGCAAGGUAGAGGCCGCGAGUUCGAAUCUCGCCUUGUCCA
rnacentral:tRNA from 1 species